rnacentral:piRNA from 1 species
UGGUCGAGUUGCAAAACACUGUGCUU